rfam:Myotis davidii contig97030, whole genome shotgun sequence.
GUCUCUAGAGUCAUGCUUGGGUAUUAGCUAUUGCCUUAUUGUGCUAGAGUCCUCGAAGAGCAAUUCUUGACCUUAUAAACUGACUGUGGCCCUACUACGGAAUAGUCAGUCACCAGGCUACUGACACGC